rnacentral:miRNA from 8 species
AGUUUUAUCAUACAUGGAUAA